AUGAUGCUCGGCCCGGCCCCUAGAAACACCUAACACCUCACUAGCAUUCUCCCUGAUGCACCUAGCCACCCUAUCCCACAUACUAUCCACGUCCCCCUACACUCCCACACCCUCAUUCCUGCCAACUUCUCCCCUAUCUCCCACGCAUUCACUGGCGUCAAGCCGCCCCACUUAAUUCUAGGUCUACACUUCUCACCCCUUCUCUUCCUAUCCAUCUUUAUACCCAAAUUCAUAACCAAGAGCCUAUGCUGGGUCGAAAGAUUCUCACUCGGGAUGACCUUACAGUCCUUACACAACACCCUAUCCCCUUUUCUAAGCAACAAAAAGUCAAUCUGGGUCUUGGCUAUCGCGCUUCG
rnacentral:lncRNA from 1 species